rnacentral:rRNA from 1 species
AUUGAACGCUGGCGGCAUGCCUUACACAUGCAAGUCGAACGGUAACGCGGGGCAACCUGGCGACGAGUGGCGAACGGGUGAGUAAUGCAUCGGAACGUGCCCAGUAGUGGGGGAUAGCCCGGCGAAAGCCGGAUUAAUACCGCAUACGACCUACGGGUGAAAGGGGGGGAUCGCAAGGCCUCUCGCUAUUGGAGCGGCCGGUGUCAGAUUAGGUAGUUGGUGGGGUAAAGGCCUACCAAGCCGACGAUCUGUAGCUGGUCUGAGAGGACGACCAGCCACACUGGGACUGAGACACGGCCCAGACUCCUACGGGAGGCAGCAGUGGGGAAUUUUGGACAAUGGGCGCAAGCCUGAUCCAGCCAUGCCGCGUGCGGGAAGAAGGCCUUCGGGUUGUAAACCGCUUUUAUCAGGGAAGAAAUCUUUUGAGUUAAUACCUCGGAAGGAUGACGGUACCUGAAGAAUAAGCACCGGCUAACUACGUGCCAGCCGCCGCGGUAAUAC